AAUUCUCAACCUCCUUCCCUUUGUGGUUGGCUGGUUGGAUCAUGGGCGCUUGCCGGCUUCGGUCUGGCUCGCCUGAAAUGCAUCUGUGAUCGUGUUGCCCUUGUGAGUUGGCCCGACUAGGCGUGAUAGUGAUAACGUUCGUCUAGGAUCCCGCUUCGGCGAGGAGCCGCUCCUGUUGGGACGUCAGCGUCGCAUACGACCCCUUAUUAUCUUUGG
rnacentral:misc_RNA from 1 species